rnacentral:rRNA from 1 species
AGUCAACAUGCCCAAAGGACGUGGAUAACCUCGGGAAACUGAGGAUAAACCGCGAUAGGCCAAGGUUUCUGGAAUGAGCCCUGGCCGAAAUCUAUAUGGCCUUUGGAUUGGACUGCGGCCGAUCAGGCUGUUGGUGAGGUAAUGGCCCACCAAACCUGUAACCGGUACGGGCUUUGAGAGAAGGAGCCCGGAGAUGGGCACUGAGACAAGGGCCCAGGCCCUAUGGGGCGCAGCAGGCGCAAAACCUCUGCAAUAGGCGAAAGCCUGACAGGGUUACUCUGAGUGAUGCCCGCUAAGGGUAUCUUUUGGCACCUCUAAAAAUGGUGCAGAAUAAGGGGUGGGCAAGUCUGGUGUCAGCCGCCGCGGUAAUACCACCACCCCGAGUUGUCGGGACGAUUAUUGGGCCUAAAGCAUCCGUAACCUGUUCUGCAAGUCCUCCGUUAAAU